GCUGACGAGUGGCGGACGGGUGAGUAAUGUCUGGGAAACUGCCUGAUGGAGGGGGAUAACUACUGGAAACGGUGGCUAAUACCGCAUAACGUCGCAAGACCAAAGAGGGGGACCUUCGGGCCUCUUGCCAUCAGAUGUGCCCAGAUGGGAUUAGCUUGUUGGUGAGGUAACGGCUCACCAAGGCGACGAUCCCUAGCUGGUCUGAGAGGAUGACCAGCCACACUGGAACUGAGACACGGUCCAGACUCCUACGGGAGGCAGCAGUGGGGAAUAUUGCACAAUGGGCGCAAGCCUGAUGCAGCCAUGCCGCGUGUAUGAAGAAGGCCUUCGGGUUGUAAAGUACUUUCAGCGGGGAGGAAGGUGUUGUGGUUAAUAACCGCAGCAAUUGACGUUACCCGCAGAAGAAGCACCGGCUAACUCCGUGCCAGCAGCCGCGGUAAUACGGAGGGUGCAAGCGUUAAUCGGAAUUACUGGGCGUAAAGCGCACGCAGGCGGUCUGUCAAGUCGGAUGUGAAAUCCCCGGGCUCAACCUGGGAACUGCAUUCGAAACUGGCAGGCUUGAGUCUUGUAGAGGGGGGUAGAAUUCCAGGUGUAGCGGUGAAAUGCGUAGAGAUCUGGAGGAAUACCGGUGGCGAAGGCGGCCCCCUGGACAAAGACUGACGCUCAGGUGCGAAAGCGUGGGGAGCAAACAGGAUUAGAUACCCUGGUAGUCCACGCCGUAAACGAUGUCUACUUGGAGGUUGUGCCCUUGAGGCGUGGCUUCCGGAGCUAACGCGUUAAGUAGACCGCCUGGGGAGUACGGCCGCAAGGUUAAAACUCAAAUGAAUUGACGGGGGCCCGCACAAGCGGUGGAGCAUGUGGUUUAAUUCGAUGCAACGCGAAGAACCUUACCUGGUCUUGACAUCCACAGAAGAAUCCAGAGAUGGAUUUGUGCCUUCGGGAACUGUGAGACAGGUGCUGCAUGGCUGUCGUCAGCUCGUGUUGUGAAAUGUUGGGUUAAGUCCCGCAACGAGCGCAACCCUUAUCCUUUGUUGCCAGCGGUCCGGCCGGGAACUCAAAGGAGACUGCCAGUGAUAAACUGGAGGAAGGUGGGGAUGACGUCAAGUCAUCAUGGCCCUUACGACCAGGGCUACACACGUGCUACAAUGGCGCAUACAAAGAGAAGCGACCUCGCGAGAGCAAGCGGACCUCAUAAAGUGCGUCGUAGUCCGGAUUGGAGUCUGCAACUCGACUCCAUGAAGUCGGAAUCGCUAGUAAUCGUGGAUCAGAAUGCCACGGUGAAUACGUUCCCGGGCCUUGUACACACCGCCCGUCACACCAUGGGAGUGGGUUGCAAAAGAAGUAGGUAGCUUAACCUUCGGGAGGGCGCUUACCACUUUGUGAUUCAUGACUGGGGUGAAGUCGUAACAAGGUAACCGUAGGGGAACCUGCGGUUGGAUCACCUCCUUACCUUAAAGAAGC
rnacentral:rRNA from 1 species